rnacentral:lncRNA from 1 species
GAAUCCUCCUCUAAAUAAGGGUGUUCCACAGCUUCCUAAGGAUUUUUGGCACCUCACCCCUAAAAUGUGAGUCUUGAAUUUUCUUUGUCUUUGGGACCCAGCAGGGGAAAUGCCAUGGGAGAAAGGUGUUCGGUCAGGAAGUCUCCAGCUGGAAGGAUACCCACCAUGGCCGGGGUCAACGCCGCCUUGUAGAAGGGUGAGAAAGUGUGUCCCAUGCCUCAGCUACAUGACAUCUGCAUGGCACCCAAAGAAGUGGUCUCAGGGAAGGGGAUUGAAAAGGCCUGGAGGUAGGGUGCUACAGACUCUCUAGGUUGGAUUAGGCAUUUUACCCUCCCAGGUUACAGAACAGGCCAAAUCACUCCACUGAGGCAAUGAUGUUUUCUCAGCCUUUGAAAUGUCCUAGAUGAAGCCAUGGUUUGGGGAUAACACCCAUCAGUGCCUUAGCUAAUUUGGCAUAUUGAUCAGUCAUAUCAUAAUGGAAAACCACUGGAUGUGGUUAACCCCUUCCUGCCAGUGAGUUCUCCUCCUUGACAUCUCUGCCUCCCAUGGGGCCUUGUGCUUUGGGAACAGAAUGCUUUGUUUCAGCCGUGCAGAUGCCUAGGUGAACUGGGGAAAGCGGACUCUUCCUGUGUCUAACCUGGAAUAGCUCCAGAGUGAGGAAAUGAAGAGGCUAGAGAGAAAAAGCCCUGGACCCCGGGCUCGGGAGACCCUGUGUGGCAGCUGGUUCUGCCACUUUUUGAGCCUGCUGACCUUGAGCAGGUCACCACCUCUCUGCAGAUUUUGAUCGCUUGCCUUGUCUGUAAAACUGCGUUCGUUCUCGGGGUCCUUUAACCCUAGCUUGCCCUCUCCAGUCUUCUAAGCGUGGAUCCCUGGUCUGUUGUUGGCAGACGAGAAAGGGAGCCCGCGGUCUGAGUGCGUGCUUCUGCCACGUUACUUUGCGACCUUCCACAAGGACACGCUGUCUCUGAACCUCAGUUUCCUCACUUAUAAAAUCAGGGUGAGAUAAUGAGCCUUUAUAAAACUUACAAAAUACGGAUGAGAUAAUGAGCCUUUUCAUAGGCACCAUAUAAAUGCAAUGAAGUGAUUUCCUGAGUUCCGAGGGGGAAGGUGGGGGAAGGCAGGCUGAGGAGAAGACGGUGGGGGUUAGCGGCAGGUGGGGUGAAACCAGGGCUAGGAGCGGGGGGCGGUGGGGGUACGGUCGUCCAGGCCGAGAAAACCUCCGACCCAGUCCUCCUCGGUUCCUCUUCAUUUCCCAGCAGCAGCCCAGGGAGGGGAAACUAUUGAGAGGUUGUAAGCGAUGCUGAGAACAGCCCAAGAGGGUGGCUGCAAACUCUUGUCUAAGGGGGUCGCGCUGCCCGAGUGCGCACGGCGCCAAAGCAAAGAGGCCGAGGGGAGCCCGACCAGGGCUCGGAAUCCCCGCGCAAACCAGCAGCCUCUCAUUUCCUACCCUGCCCGGGGGUAAUAGCCCUGAACUGAGCACCUUCUGGGCUGCCCCGCAUCACCUCCUAGGGGUGUAAAAACAGCUCCGAGGGGAGCCCUGGAAAUCACAUCACGGCUGUAUGCUCACCAGAGUGACCUGUCUCGACUCAUCUCUGCGGGAAAAUCACAGAUCUGCUAGAGAAACUCUCCAAAUUCCUGUUUAUUCUUUACGUAAACGGAUUAACCUAGGGUUAGCGAUUUUACUUCCAGUCUCUCUUUCAUGUUACAGCGAAAAUGAAAUCGACCGACCACUCCUUUGAAGCAGUUCUUUGAGCCAUAAGCGUAAUUUCUCUUCUCUCCCAUCAAAAGGGGUUUUCUCUUUUUUGCCAAAAAAAAAUUUUUUUUGUUUUUAUUUUUGAAGCCCCAGGAGCUGAGAGGCUGGCAGGAGGCGUGGCUGCCAUAAGAGCCGCUUGCUGUCCCCCUGCUGACUCAUCUGACAUUAACAUAAUUAUGUUUUAAGAGUCAAAGUGAUUUUCAAACUAUGAGUAAUGCACGGUAUUAGAGAGAAUGUUGACGAAGCAGCGGGCAUUUCAGCACGCUGAGGGAGCCAGCUGCUGCUAACAGCUGAAACCAGUGAAAGAGUAAGAAAAUGCUCUCGGAAAAAGAAGCUGACUUUCUCCGUUCCUCUUCCUUGGGAAAGAUUCGGAUUUUGUGAAAGGCAGGUGAACUCAGAGUUCCCUGAGGAAGGAUCCAGAUCUAGCAUCUUUAGCUGAAUAUCUGGCUGUCUGAUCAUUUUAUAUGAAAAAAAAAUGUUUUCAUAGUAUUCAUUUUCAUAUAACCAAUGCUAGGCAAAGAUGGACCUAAAGAUUACAACCAUUUCUUAAAGCCAAAUUAUUACCAGUAAUAAUAAUAAUAAUAAUCUAAAGUUGUGUGAAGAAAUGGGCUACUUCUUCUAAGACAGGAAAGAGGUCACAAAUCAUUUCCUGAAUUUCAAAGAUGGGGCGCAGAAGCCCAUGGUAGGGGCAUGAAAGCCUUCUCAAAGCUCCUUUGAUUAGUGAGAGGAACGUCUGAGAGCCAUUGACUUAGACCUUAGGAGAGAAAAGCUGAGUUCCAGUCCUCUUCCAGAGCUGUCUCUGUCCUUGCCUCUGUUUCUCAUAAUGGGAAUAUUACUAGCACUUGUUCUGCCUACCUCAGAGGAACAGCUUGAGCUCUGGGAGGGCAGCAAGAGUGCCCGCUCCUGUGCCCCCCAGUGUUUAACCUGGAGCUCUCGCAUUGUAAGUGCUCAGUAAGCAUUUGCAGAGUUAAGGAAUGAGAUAAGAGCUUUGAACACAGAGCUCUGCUCUUGGGUUUAUUUGGUCUUCUUGCCUUUAGUUCCCUGUGCCCAGGGCUGAGGGGCUCAGUUUGAGACUCGUCUGCUGACGUACCAGCACUAAUACGGAAAAAUAACUGCUCACAUCCUUGGGAUCAACUGCUAAAGUCAGAGGGAAGAAAAUGCUCAAAUCAGAAACUCCUUUAGAAAAGGCUCACUCAAAAACAUGGCAGUAAUUUUGUUUAUAUGUUGGAGCUACAUCUGGAGAACUGGCAGGCUUAAUUUCACCUGCUGGAUCUUGAAUGAAAGCAUCACCGCAAGUGUUAUAACAAAAGUCAACUUGGUUUGGGGCAUCAGGAUGGCCAGUGAAAGAUAAGUGGUUGGACUGGCUAAACCCUUGAAAAAUAAAAGUUCCACUCAGAUCCACACUUAAGAGUACAAAAUAAAAUAAAUUAGGAAAGAUUAAUUCUGCUAUUUUUGGGGGCCACACCCACGCAUGUGGGAGUUCCUGGGCUAGGGGCAGUGACAAUGUCAGAUCCUUAACCUACUGCACCACAAGGGAACUCCAAUCCUGCCACUUAAAAAAAAAAAAAAAAAAAAAAGGGAAAAACAUUCAUUUGAUUUACACUGAAGAACAGAUUUCUAAAUUUUGAGAAGGGCUUACAAGGAUCACUCUGUUCUCUUGUUCUUUCCAGUCCUGCUUUGGCUUCUUUGCCUUUGUCUCCUUCUCCCUCUUCCCUUCAUCCCUAAGCUAACUCCUUUCAUUCUGGUUCCCUGCUGCUUCCCCCAAGCAUUCCUUCUCAUGAACUGUCUUAAGGUAUCAUCCCCCUGGAGAGUGGUCAAUAGGGUUGGUGUUUUUUCUGUUUUUUGGUUUUUUUAAUGUAAAAAGAAAAAGUCAUGAACUAAUUAUAAGCUCACUUAUAAAUAAAUUGCUAAUUAUUUUUGAGCUACCAAGCUUAACCACACACACAAAUAUUCCUCUUCACUUAGGAAUGUCUUUGAUGAAGCAGUAAAAAUUCAUUUUAUCAAACCUCAUCCCUUGACUACACUACCUUAGAAGGCUCUGCAUUUGCAUCACGGGAAAAAGGGAUGGCCCCCAGGGAAAGAUACCCACUGAGAACCCUAACCUGCCCUCAACUGAGAGGCCUAGGUGUGUGUCUUGUGGACGACCUGGAUUGACCGAUUUCUCCUCUCCCCAUCCAUUACAACAAUAUUGUUAGGCUUACUUCAAGCAGUAAAUAUAAACUAUAAAAUAUAAACUUCAUGACUAAUCAAUCCAAAAUGAUAGUAAAAGACAGGUCAGGAUAUAUGGUCCUGUCCCGAGCAUCCGAAGAUGAUGCCGGAAAAGAAAAUGUGUGGGCUCCCAGUGGCUGUCAUUUGACAUUCUGCCCGAGGCACGCUCUCCAGUGGGGUAAAUCCAGGCUGGGGGUGCUUCUGAGGUUCUGAGCCUCCGUUCUAUCAGUGCUGCAUGUUCCCGACACUCCUGAGUUCACCUCCUUUACUCUGCUGUUCCUGCACGCUAAUGCCUGUCAGGCUAGGAACCCUAAAUUGGGUUUGGAUGACACAGUCGCUGAUCCUUAAGGCAUCUCGAGUUAGGUUUCUUACUUUUAACCUUGAUUCAUUUAUUUUGUAAAUAUGUGUAAAUAAUGUAAUAUUCAUGUAAUAGUUUUAUUAUUAGCAGGUUGCUGAACAUUUGAGACCCAAAUGUUUAACAUAUAUUCUGAAAUAAACUUGGCCUGUUCAGAAUCCUCAUGGAAAAACUUAUGCUUAUUUUUCUCCAUAUUCCCUCUUUAUAUCUUUCCUUCCCUCUAUUCUCUCCCUCCAUCUUUCCUUCCCUUCCUUCCUUCUUUCCUCUUUCCUUUUGUUUUUUGCUUACUUUUUAAAAAACAUAUCCAGAAGGAGAUAAGAAAAACUGAUGAAGGCAACUAGGACUAGAGAGAGACUUUCAUCGUAUGCAUUUUUUGACUAUUUUAAUUUUUAAUCACCUACACAUGUACUUUUUCUCAUUAAAAAAUUUGGUUAACUGAAAUAGUGUUUUGCAUUUUUCCCGUUUUCACUUUUUUUAAAGUGUUUUAUUUUUUCCCCCAAUUCUAAUGCCAGCCUAUUCCUCCUGGAACAGCUUCCAGAGGGAAGUGGGGAAGAAGGGAAAAGAGAAAGUUGGCAAGGGCUCAGUGCCUAUGUGUUCACAGCAGAGACAUAGGGGACAGGUUAGCCUAACAGGAUCAAGGGAGUUUUAGCCUUUUUUUCCUUUUUUUUAAACUUAAGAUGUAAGCAUCAUUAAGUAGUUUACAACAUCAUUUAAAAUGGUUGUAUAGGAGCCCUUUUUACUAUAAUUUAUUUAAUACACUAUGUUAAACAUUUGGGUAAUAUCAGACACGUCAAUAUUAAUGUAAUGGUACUGCAAUAAACAUUCUUG